rnacentral:tRNA from 1 species
GAUAAAGAGUGGAAUUAAACCAAUGUAAACAGGACUACAGCCUGCCGCCUACCAGUCGGCCACUUUACC